CAAUAGCGUAUAUUAAAGUUGUUGCGGUUAAAAAGCUCGUAGUUGGAUUUCUGGUAGGAGUGACCGUGCCAGACUUGAUUGUCUGUGUAUUGUGUUGUCUCCAGCCAUCCUUGUGGAGAACUUUUCUUGCAUUAAUUUGUAGGGAUUGGGACCCGCAUCGUUUACUGUGAAAAAAUUAGAGUGUUUAAAGCAGGCAAUCGCUUGAAUACAUUAGCAUGGAAUAAUAAGAUAGGACUUUGGUACUAUUUUGUUGGUUUGCAUACCAAAUUAAUGAUCAACAGGAACAGUUUGAGGAUAUUCGUAUGAACAUGUCAGAGGUGAAAUUCUUGGAUUUUGAUCAGACGAACUACUGCGAANGNAUUUAUNAAGGAUGUUUNCAUUA
rnacentral:rRNA from 1 species